rfam:Candidatus Methanoregula boonei 6A8, complete genome.
CUGACCGCGACGCAUGGGUGGACGUUUAAAAAACGAGCCUGGUUCCCUGAAUCAUCAGGGAAUGCGUCAGUGUCAG